GACAGAGGGUGCAAACGUUGUUCGGAAUUACUGGGCGUAAAGCGCGUGUAGGCGGCUUUGCAAGUCGGGCGUGAAAUCCCACGGCUCAACCGUGGAAGUGCACUCGAAACUGCAGAGCUAGAGUCCUGGAGAGGAAGGUGGAAUGCUUGGUGUAGAGGUGAAAUUCGUAGAUAUCAAGCGGAACACCGGUGGCGAAGGCGGCCUUCUGGACAGUGACUGACGCUGAGACGCGAAAGCGUGGGGAGCAAACAGG
rnacentral:rRNA from 1 species